rnacentral:lncRNA from 1 species
CUCAGACAAGAAAAAGAGCCUGGAGUCCCUGGGACAAAGGCAGGGCUCCCUGGAAAGUACCGUGUGUAUUUUUCCUUCCUCUGGGACACAGCAGGCCUGGGGAUUUCUCCCUUACUCAAGCAGCAAGGAGAUGGCCUAGGAGUGUCCCUGGCACCCAGCCUGAACCCUACUGAGCCUCAGGAGCUCAGCGUCUUCCUCAGCAGCACUUCCAUGUCAUCUGCCCCGUGAAAUCAGCCUAACGCCGUUUCUCAAUGACGCGGAUCGCCCUAGACCACCGCAACCUUCCGGAAGCUCUCUCAGCUCAGUUCCCAUUCUCCCACCAUCUCUUGGUUCUCCUUCUACCUCACCGGUUGCUAGUCCUCCGCUUCGCAGCUGAAAAUGUGCCCGGGGCCUACCGUGGGCCUAGCCAGGCCUGCUUACGCAGUGCAGUUUCCCAUGAAUAAUGCCCAGUCAUUAUCACAUAACCUGUGGCAAGCCAGCAAGAUGGCCCUGGUGACAGAAAAAGAAACUGCACUAGGACCUGAAUGUAGAUCUAAGUCAUGUUCC